AUCAUAGGUUCAUUGAAUUUCAAGUCAGUCACGACAAUACGAUUUUUCUCUGUCUCCUGUUGUUAUCCUUAGCAUUAGCAGCAACUCUGUUUAGAACUUCAUCAGAGACAACUGAGCAGAUAAAUCUCUUUCAAUAGAUGUGAUCAACGGACCUUUGUUCUCUCAUUGUUGUACGAAGCCACUUUUUCAUUUUGUUUUAAGAAAAAAAAGGAUCAUUCACAUGAUGCAGAGCUUACAGCUGUGGUGUGAUAGCUCCAAAAAGAUACUCCUCAAACUUCUACCAGUAGUGUUGCUAUGGCAUGCUUGGCCAAAAAACACUUUUCAAAAAUCAUAUCCUUAUUGAGAUUGUAGUUAUAAAUAAUUGGGAGAAGGUUUUCAGGAUCUAAAAAGCUGGACAACUGAGGGUUUCAGUGCUGAUUAGAGCAUAGUAUAUCAAGAUUGGGACCUGAGAACUGUUUGUUCAGCUCAUAAAGUAUGCAGUCAAUUACUGGAAUUUUUCAUUAUGUUAUCUUGAAGUCGAUGUGGAAUCACUCUUGUACGUCCAUGACCAUCAGUAAAGUUGAUGUCUAAUAGUGGUUCUGACUUCUGAGCUGGACUGAAAAGUAAAGGCCAAAAAGACAAAUUUAAUCCUGGCAAUAUCAAAAAACAGCAAUUCAUAUUGACUAUAGUCUAAUGAUGUAAAAUUUUGUUGCUGUCAUUUUUAUUCAUAAAAAAUGAUAAUUCAAAUUGCAGCAAAUUUAGUGGUGCUAACACUGACACUAUA